rnacentral:rRNA from 1 species
AUCCAUUUAUCGGAGAGUUUGAUCCUGGCUCAGGACGAACGCUGGCGGCGUGCCUAAUACAUGCAAGUCGA